rnacentral:rRNA from 1 species
AUUGAACGCUGGCGGCAUGCCUUACACAUGCAAGUCGAACGGCAGCACGGGAGCAAUCCUGGUGGCGAGUGGCGAACGGGUGAGUAAAGUAUCGGAACGUGCCCAGUCGGGGGGGAUAACGUAGCGAAAGUUACGCUAAUACCGCAUACGAUCUAUGGAUGAAAGCGGGGGAUCGCAAGACCUCGCGCGAUUGGAGCGGCCGAUAUCAGACUAGGUAGUUGGUGGGGUAAAGGCUCACCAAGCCGACGAUCUGUAGCUGGUCUGAGAGGACGACCAGCAACAAUGGGACUGAGACACGGCCCAGACUCCUGCGGGAGGCAGCAGUGGGGAAUUUUGGACAAUGGGCGCAAGCCUGAUCCAGCCAUGCCGCGUGCAGGAUGAAGGCCUUCGGGUUGUAAACUGCUUUUGUACGGAACGAAAAGGUUUGACUUAAUACGUUGGACUCAUGACGGUACCGUAAGAAUAAGCACCGGCUAACUACGUGCCAGCAGCCGCCGUAA